UACGGGGGGGGCAAGCGUUGUUCGGAAUUACUGGGCGUAAAGGGCGCGUAGGCGCCUGCUAAGUCGGACGUGAAAUCCCUCGGCUCAACCGGGGAACUGCGUCCGAUACUGGCGAGGCUUGAAUCCGGGAGAGGGAUGUGGAAUUCCAGGUGUAGCGGUGAAAUGCGUAGAUAUCGGGAGGAACACCAGUGGCGAAGGCGCUACCUGGCCUGUUUCUUGACGCUGAGGCGCGAAAAGCUAGGGGGAGCAAAACGGGGAUUA
rnacentral:rRNA from 1 species